UGAACUAUCUUAAGGCGAUAGAAAUUACAUCUCCUUUUGAUGGUUCUCUUUUCAGUUUCGCCCCUAUCUCUGGAAAUUGAAAUUUUAGUUCCCAAAAUUCACUCGUGCAAUUUGAGUCCCCAAUCCUCCCAUGCAUUGACCCCAGAUUUACGAUUCUUGCGCAGGCACAGGCUAAAUAACAAAAUCGUGAUGCAACCAAUAUAAUUAGAGAUCAGAGUAUCCUUGAUUUCAGGCAUGUACAAGCAUACGGGCCCUAUUAAAUUCAAUCAAGAGUUAGGAAACUUAUGCGUCCUCCCCGCAGAGGUCAAAUUAGAAGAUUGUUGUAUGCACGUAGGUCUUUUAUCUCCUUUCAAUCGAGGAUAAUCAAAAGUAAAGGCAUCAGAGAAAUCGCAGGAAGGGGUCCAGGACAAAAUAUUGAUCCUCUUCCGGUGGUGCACAAACUGGAGAAGAAUGGCUACGCAGACAUUUUGGGCGUGGGCUCUGCGACUGCACAAAAUGAGACCUUCCCUUCAAUAGGCGGGUGCGUGCAUCAACACCCCCUUAAGAUAUGUAGAGACAAAAGACGUAAUAAGUCGAUUCCAUUUACAAUGAAUCUCCAGAGGAAUUGGUGUGCGCUGAAAGUGACUGAUUCGAUUAACAUGGUAAUUGUUCCUUUUGAAUUGAAAAUGUUUCCACGAAUCAAAAUGGAUAUGUGCAGAGCAACGAUAACAGUCGGAGGAGAAGCAGCAGGAAGACCACCCACCACCAGGACAAGCCGAUUCUUACAUAUCUCAAAUAGAAGCAUCACCUUUUUUCUCGUCCUCGUCCUCCUCUGUCUCUCCCUCUUGCCUCCGAGGCUCGACCUUCAGUUUUCCCAG